UGGAUAUUUGAAUGUCCCACUUCAUUUUGUUAUCAAUAUGAAUACCCAGAUAUUUAUAAAAAUUUACAUUUUCAAGUUCUGUGUCAUCAAUUUGGACUACUAAACCAUUUUGUGCUUUACUUUUAGGUGAUAUUAACAUAGUUUUAGAUUUAUUUAUGUUUAUUGUUAAUUUGUUUGAUCGCAUCCAGUUUGCUACUUUAGCAAUUUCAGUGUUCACCCUUAAUUCAAGGGCUGCACAGGAUUUGUCACUGUCAAGGAGAUUGGUAUCAUCUGCAAAUAAUUUCGAGAAUAAUGAAGAACAAUGAGUUAUGUCAUUAACAUAUACUAAAAAUAACAAUGGACCCAAACAGCUACCUUGUGGAACUCCAUGAGUCACUGAUUUAAGAAGAGGAAUUACUCUUGCAAUUUUGAGAGAAGAAGGAAAUAUGCCGAGAGAGAGUGAGCAAUUGAAGAACUCUGUCAGACAUGGAGCGAUGAGGUCAGCAACUAAUUUAAGAAAGCGCGCUGGAAUAUUAUCUGGCCCAACUGCCUUCCUAUCCUUCAAAUUUUGAAUUUCUACCAACAAUUCAUUAGAAGUAGUCGGACUCAAAAAUAUAGACUGGCUCAGAGGAUUAUGAAGAAGUUGUUUGAAGUUACCCGAAUCAUUAGAAAACUUUUCUGAGAGGCUGGACCCUAUGGUUGAGAAGUACUUAUUAAAUUCAGUUGAUAUCGAAAAGUCAUCUUUGGUGAUACUGCCAUUUUUCAGAUAAAUUUCCUUAACUUUUUGUCUUGAUUUAUUAUGCGUGUGCGUAAUUUGGUUAACUAUUUGCCAUGUCGAUCUCGGGUUGCCUCUGUUUUGGGCAAUAAGGUUUUGGUAAUAAAUUUGCUUUGCUCUAUCUA